rnacentral:rRNA from 1 species
AGUGAACGCUGGCGGUAGGCCUAACACAUGCAAGUCGAACGGCAGCACAGUAAGAGCUUGCUCUUACGGGUGGCGAGUGGAGGAAGGGUGAGGAAUACGUCGGAAUCUACUUUUUCGUGGGGGAUAACGUAGGGUAACUUACGCUACUACCGCAUACGACCUACGGGUGAAAGCAGGGGAUCUUCGGACCUUGCGCGAUUGAAUGAGCCGAUGUCGGAUUAGCUAGUUGGCGGGGUAAAGGCCCACCAAGGCGACGAUCCGUAGCUGGUCUGAGAGGAUGACCAGCCACACUGGAACUGAGACACGGCCCAGACUCCUACGGGAGGCAGCAGUGGGGAAUAUUGGACAAUGGGCGCAAGCCUGAUCCAGCCAUACCGCGUGGGUGAAGAAGGCCUUCGGGUUGUAAAGCCCUUUUGUUGGGAAAGAAAAGCAGCAGGUUAAUACCCCGCUGUUCUGACGGUACCCAAAGAAUAAGCACCGGCUAACUUCGUG